rnacentral:rRNA from 1 species
AAGUAGCGGCGAGCGAACGCGGAUUAGCCCAAACCAAUGUUGUUACGGCAAUAUUGGGGUUGUAGGACCACGACAUUUGAUGCAUGAUGAACUAGAACAAGUUGGAAAGCUUGGCCAUAGACGGUGAUAGCCCGGUAUAAGUAAAGCGUGCGUAGAUAGUGGUAUCCUGAGUAGUGCGGGGCACGUGAAACCCUGUAUGAAUCAGUCGGGACCAUCCGAUAAGGCUAAAUACUCCUGAGAGACCGAUAGUGAACUAGUACCGUGAGGGAAAGGUGAAAAGAACCCUGAAUAAGGGAGUGAAAUAGAUCCUGAAACCAUACGCUUACAAGCGGUCGGAGCUGACUUGAUCAGUGACGGCGUGCCUUUUGCAUAAUGAGCCUACGAGUUACUUUUACUAGCAAGGUUAAGGACUUCAGGUCCGGAGCCGUAGCGAAAGCGAGUCUUAAUAGGGCGCCAUAGUUAGUAGUAGUAGACGCGAAACCGUGCGAUCUACCCUUGGGCAGGUUGAAGCUGUGGUAACACAUAGUGGAGGACCGAACCCGUUGACGUUGAAAAGUCUUGGGAUGACCUGUGGGUAGGGGUGAAAGGCCAAUCAAGCUCGGAAAUAGCUCGUACUCCCCGAAAU